rnacentral:rRNA from 1 species
GAUGAACGCUGGCGGCGUGCUUAACACAUGCAAGUCGAACGGAACUACUCCAAUGAGAGUCUUCGGAAAGGAUUUGGUUUAGUUUAGUGGCGGACGGGUGAGUAACGCGUGGGUAACCUGCCCUAUACAGGGGGAUAACAGUUGGAAACGACUGUUAAUACCGCAUAAGCGCACAGGAGCGCAUGCUCCGGUGUGAAAAACUCCGGUGGUAUAGGAUGGACCCGCGUCUGAUUAGCUGGUUGGCGGGGUAACGGCCCACCAAGGCGACGAUCAGUAGCCGGGAUGAGAGGGUGAACGGCCACAUUGGGAAUGAGACACGGCCCAAACUCCUACGGGAGGGAGCAGUGGGGAAUAUUGCACAAUGGGGGAAACCCUGAUGCAGCGACGCCGCGUGAGCGAAGAAGUAUCUCGGUAUGUAAAGCUCUAUCAGCAGGGAAGAAAAUGACGGUACCUGACUAAGAAGCCCCGGCUAACUACGUG